AAGAGCCGUAUGCGGUAGUACCGCACGUACGGUUCUAGGAGGGGGGUGGAGCACAAUCUGCUUUUAAGUAGAAAGGCUCCCUCCUACUCGAC
rnacentral:ncRNA from 1 species